rnacentral:rRNA from 1 species
UACGAAGGUGGCAAGCGUUACUCGGAAUUACUAGGCGUAAAGGGCAGGUAGGCGGUCGAAUAAGUCUAUUGUGAAAGCUCCCGGCUUAACUGGGAGACGUCAACAGAUACUGUUUGACUUGAGUAUGGGAGAGGGUACUGGAAUUCCUGGUGUAGCGGUGAAAUGCGCAGAUAUCAGGAGGAACACCGAUGGCGAAAGCAGGUACCUGGACCAUUACUGACGCUCAGCUGCGAAAGCUAGGGGAGCAAACAGG